rnacentral:rRNA from 1 species
AAUAGAUACCCCGGUAGUCCACGCCGUAAACGGUGGGCACUAGGUGUGGGGACCAUUCCACGGUCUCUGCGCCGCAGCUAACGCAUUAAGUGCCCCGCCUGGGGAGUACGGCCGCAAGGCUAAAACUCAAAGGAAUUGACGGGGGGCCCGCACAAGCGGCGGAGCAUGCGGCUUAAUUCGAAGCAACGCGAAGAACCUUACCUAGGCUUAACAUGCAGGGAAAUCUGGCAGAGAUGCCAGGUCCUUCGGGGCCUUGCACAGGUGGUGCAUGGCUGUCGUCAGCUCGUGUCGUGGGAUGUUGGGUUAAGUCCCGCAACGAGCGCAACCCUCGUUCUAUGUUGCCAGCGGUUCGGCCGGGGACUCAUAGAAGACUGCCGGGGUCAACUCGGAGGAAGGUGGGGAUGACGUCAAGUCAUCAUGCCCCUUAUGUCUAGGGCUGCACGCAUGCUACAAUGGUCGGUACAAAGGGCUGCAAUACCGUAAGGUGGAGCGAAUCCAAAAGCCGGCUCAGUUCGGAUUGGGGUCUGCAACUCGACCC